AACGAACGCUGGCGGCAUGCCUAACACAUGCAAGUCGAACGAGACCUUCGGGUCUAGUGGCGCACGGGUGCGUAACGCGUGGGAACCUGCCCUUAGGUUCGGAAUAACUCCCCGAAAGGGGUGCUAAUACCGGAUAAUGUCUUCGGACCAAAGAUUUAUCGCCUUUGGAUGGGCCCGCGUUGGAUUAGCUAGUUGGUAGGGUAAAAGCCUACCAAGGCGACGAUCCAUAGCUGGUCUGAGAGGAUGAUCAGCCACACUGGGACUGAGACACGGCCCAGACUCCUACGGGAAGCAGCAGUGGGGAAUAUUGGACAAUGGGCGAAAGCCUGAUCCAGCAAUGCCGCGUGAGUGAUGAAGGCCUUAGGGUUGUAAAGCUCUUUUACCCGGGAUGAUAAUGACAGUACCGGGAGGAUAAGCUCCGGCUAACUCCGUG
rnacentral:rRNA from 1 species